AUGAGGGCAAAGUGUUUGUUGGCCAUGUGGAUGAUUUGGAAACAUAGGAAUGACGUGGUGUUCAAUGGAGCCUCUCCCUCCCUUUCAACCGUGCGAAAGAGAAUUAGGGAGGAGGCCAUGUUAUGGAUCAAGGCUGGCCUGCUCAAGGAUGGCGACGGUGGAGUGCAAGAUGGAGUAGAGGUAGUAUGGUGGGAGGAGGAGACGUAG
rnacentral:rRNA from 1 species